GAUGAACGCUGGCGGUGUGCCUAAUACAUGCAAGUCGAGCGAACAGACGAGGAGCUUCCUCCUCUGACGUUAGCGGCGGACGGGUGAGUAACACGUGGAUAACCUACCUAUAAGACUGGGAUAACCUCGGGAAACCGGAGCUAAUACCGGAUAACAUGUUGAACCGUAUGGUUCAACAGUGAAAGACGGUCUUGCUGUAUCUUCUAGAUGGAUACGCGUCGCAUUAGCUAGUUGGUAAGGUAACGGCUUUCCAGGGCAACGAUGCGUAGCCGACCUGAGAGGGGGAUAGGCGGCACUGGAGCUGGGCCAGGCACCAGGGGCCUGCGGUAGGGAGCAGUAGGGUAUCGGCCGCAGUGGGCGGGAGCCUUGCAGAGCAGCGCGACGCCAGUGAAGGAGGUCUUCGGAGCGUAAAGCUCUGUUUUUGGGGAAGAACAAAUUUGGAAGUAACUGUGCACGUCGUGACGGUACCUGAUCAAGAAGCCACGGCUAACUACGUG
rnacentral:rRNA from 1 species